rnacentral:rRNA from 1 species
UUCCGGUUGAUCCCGCCGGAGGCGACCGCUUUUGGAGUUCGAUUAAGCCAUGCGAGUAGAAAGAAAUUAGAUUCUUUGCGAACUGCUCAGUAACACGUGGAUAACCUGCCCUAUGCUCCGGAAUAACCUCGGGAAACUGAGAAUAAUACCGGAUAGAUCACAACGCCUGGAACGGUGUGUGGUUGAAAGAUUACGGCAUAGGAUGGGUCUGCGGCGUAUCAGGUUGUAGGGGGUGUAACGGACCCCUAGCCAUCGACGCGUACGGGUGUUGGGAGACAUAGCCCGGAAACGGAUUCUGAGACACGAAUCCAGACCCUACGGGGUGCAGCAGGCGCGAAAACUUCACACUGCAGGAAACUGUGAUGAGGGAACUCCAAGUGCGCGCACUUAGUGUGCGCUUUUGUUGACUAUUAAUCGGUCAAUGAAUAAGGGCUGGGAAAGACCGGUGCCAGCCGCCGCGGUAAUACCGGCAGCUCAAGUGGUCGUCGCUUUUAUUGGGCCUAAAACGUCCGUAGCCUGUUUGGUAAAUCUGUGGGUAAAUCAACCAGCUUAACUGGUUGAAUUCUGCAGAGACUGCCAGACUAGGGACCGGGAGAGGUGUGGGGUACUCUAGGGGUAGGGGUAAAAUCCUGUCAUCCUUAGAGGACCACCAGUUGCGAAGGCGCCACACCGGAACGGAUUCGACGGUCAGGGACGAAGCCUAGGGGCACGAACCGGAUUAGAUACCCGGGUAGUCCUAGGUGUAAACGCUGUGAACUUGGUGUCGGGGAUCCGUAAUGGGUCCCCGGUGCCAGAGUGAAGAUGUUAAGUUCACUGCCUGGGGAGUACGGUCGCAAGGCUGAAACUUAAAGGAAUUGGCGGGGCAGCAC